rnacentral:rRNA from 1 species
UACGUAGGGGGCAAGCGUUGUCCGGAAUCAUUGGGCGUAAAGAGCGUGUAGGCGGCCCGAUAAGUCCGCUGUGAAAGUCCAGGGCUCAACCCUGGGAUGCCGGUGGAUACUGUCGGACUAGAGUCCGGAAGAGGCGAGUGGAAUUCCCGGUGUAGCGGUGAAAUGCGCAGAUAUCAGGAGGAACACCGGUGGCGAAGGCGGGUCUCUGGGCCGAUACUGACGCUGGAGGAGCGAAAGCGUGGGGAGCGAACAGG